ACACUAAUACCAUUCAAUACAAUUUUGCGCCUUUGAGAGACGCAGAUAAUUUUAAGUUUUGCAUAACUUGUAGCCGGGCUAACGGGACGCACUGAAUGCAAAAUAGUUGAAACAAACUAUUUAAAAUGGAUUUGAGUAUGAAGUGCGAGAAUACGCCUCGGCCUUUAUGGGAGCCAUCAUGGCUGACUAGUUUCGGAGAGUAUGCUCAAGCCCGAUCCGUUCCGAUUACAGACACAUUGUCAGCUGCUACAUAAUUAUCCUGGAGCUGUUGCUUCGACUGCCAUAUUCUGUGCAUGGGGUUUGUUCAAUGGCAGCGAUGCUCUACAUGGAACUGGCCCAGCGCCGGUACAAUGAGAGGAAAAUAGUUCUGCACGCUCAGCUCAGCUGAAGGCUCAGAUGAAUCCCAGUGACCUGGAGGCUGCACAGAGGGAGGAACUGCUGAAAGCCUAUGCCCAGUGUCUGCGUCGCUUGCACGCCCUUCUUAGAGCCGCCCACAGCAGAACGAUAGUAUCUUUGGCUCGGAAUGUUUGGCCUCAUGCUCAUCCGGCUGCACAAGGAGCACCAGGAUGUGAUCGGCCUGGCCCAGCAGUUACGCGACUUCUGCAAUUCAUGACACAGGAGAGCUUAAAGCGAACCAAGUUUAUGUUCUGCUUCGUUACCAUCCUACACCUUGGCUGGAAGAAUAGUUUAGCCAGAGCUAUAUACAUGAGAUGCACUUACUGUUUCGUCUAAUGGUCGCUUGCGAUCAAAUUCCGUUGCCCAAAAACCUGAGCUUGGAAAGCCCAGUUACAGUACAAUGUUGUGGGAACUGCUUCGCAAGUCCUUCGUCCGGAGCUUGAUUUACUAGUCGGCGUUCUGAUAGAGCACGGCAUUCUUACCAAAUAUAUCCACUGUCUGUCGGCAAGCCAGCUGCGCUUCGGCAACAAAACCAAUGCCAAAAAACGGAUGGCCGCUACGCUGAAUGCCGAUCUGCGGCUUAUUAAGGUCCAAGAAUCCGCCGUUGACGCUUGGCUUCUGCGCUGGACUGUUGUCAAUCGCUGAAUCUCUUGAUUGAGGAUGGCCGUUGGAAGAUUGGAAAAAAUGCCCAAGGAAAUGGCUUGCUGCCGCUGCAGCAUCUGCAACUGAUUUCCCAAAAAAGUGUGUCCCGAAGAUUAUUCCAAUGAUAUUUUAAAUUGAAUGUUCGUACUCUCCUGGUGGAUCAGCAAGGCAAAGAGGACGAGCAAGCAGACGAGAAAAAUACGGACGGAAAAUACGACAAUGAGGAUGGCGAGGGUACAUGCGAAGAAUGAUUCUUGAACCUUGCAACUUGAAUUAUGAGACUUAUGAUUGCUUUAUUUUUAAGUAUCGAAUACAUAAAAGGUUGUUAUAUAUUUAUUCGCAAUUACUCAU